rnacentral:rRNA from 1 species
AUUGAACGCUGGCGGCAUGCUUUACACAUGCAAGUCGAACGGUAACAGGCCGCAAGGUGCUGACGAGUGGCGAACGGGUGAGUAAUGCAUCGGAACGAGCCCAGUCGUGGGGGAUAACGCAGCGAAAGCUGCGCUAAUACCGCAUACGAUCUAUGGAUGAAAGCGGGGGACCGUAAGGCCUCGCGCGAUUGGAGCGGCCGAUGUCAGAUUAGGUAGUUGGUGGGGUAAAGGCUCACCAAGCCAACGAUCUGUAGCUGGUCUGAGAGGACGACCAGCCACACUGGGACUGAGACACGGCCCAGACUCCUACGGGAGGCAGCAGUGGGGAAUUUUGGACAAUGGGCGCAAGCCUGAUCCAGCAAUGCCGCGUGCAGGAAGAAGGCCUUCGGGUUGUAAACUGCUUUUGUACGGAACGAAACGGCUCUGGUUAAUACCCGGGGCUAAUGACGGUACCGUAAGAAUAAGCACCGGCUAACUACGUGCCAGCAGCCGCCGUAA